UACGAAGGGGACUAGCGUUGUUCGGAUUUACUGGGCGUAAAGCGCGCGCAGGCGGCAGUGCAAGUAAGGUGUGAAAUCUCCCUGCUCAACGGGGAGGGUGCAUUUUAGACUGCACAGCUAGAGGUCGGUAGAGGGGGGUGGAAUUGCUGGUGUAGCGGUGAAAUGCGUAGAGAUCAGCAGGAACACCCGUGGCGAAGGCGGCCCCCUGGGCCGUACCUGACGCUGAGGCGCGAAGGCUAGGGGAGCGAACGGG
rnacentral:rRNA from 1 species